CUUGUUUAUAUAUUUUUUUAAGGUUAAGCAUGAAAUUUGAAAUUUUUUGCAUUAUUAAGUUUAAAUCUACCUCUUUUCAACCAUAUAUAAGAAGUACUAUUUACUAUUUUAUGUACUGUUUAUAUUGCUUCACUUACAUAUUUUACUUUUCAGAGUUUCAAAAAAAAGUUUUAUUUCAAUUUGCUGAAAUUAACAACAUUUUAGUAGAUAUAACUGCACAGUUCUCUAAUGAUCCAGAAGAAGGUUUUACACAACGUAAAAUUUCAGAUGAACUUAAUGUUUUGAAAAGAAAAAUUGCAAAUAUAGAUAUCCAAUACAUCGCUUUUGUAUUAGUAAAACAGUUAUCAUUAAUUAGCGGUAAAAAAUCGAGUAGAUACAAUUAAAAAUAUUUUGCUCUUACUACCAACAGACAUUAUUUUGUCCGAAUACAGCAUGAAUGGUCUAAAGAAGAAAAAAAAGUUUAAAGAAUUGACAAGUCUAUGUAAUGCUGAAACUGCUUUAAAGUCAAAUAAAAACAAAAUGGAUGCCAUCCAUCCAACUUAUUGGGAGAGUAAUUAGGAAUUCUUCUGACCGAUUAAAGAAAACAUCCACUAAUAUGAAUAUCGAUCAAUGAUCGGCUUAA